GACGAACGCUGGCGGCGUGCCUAAUACAUGCAAGUCGAACGCACAGUUUAUACCGUAGCUUGCUACACCAUAGACUGUGAGUUGCGAACGGGUGAGUAACGCGUAGGUAACCUGCCUGGUAGCGGGGGAUAACUAUUGGAAACGAUAGCUAAUACCGCAUAAUAUUAAUUAUUGCAUGAUAAUUAAUUGAAAGGUGCAAUUGCACCACUACCAGAUGGACCUGCGUUGUAUUAGCUAGUAGGUGAGGUAACGGCUCACCUAGGCGACGAUACAUAGCCGACCUGCAAAGGUGAUCGGCCACACUGGGACUGAGACACGGCCCAGACUCCUACGGGAGGCAGCAGUAGGGAAUCUUCGGCAAUGGACGAAAGUCUGAACGAGCAACGCCGCGUGAGUGAAGAAGGUUGUCGGGUCGUAUAGGUCUGUUGUAAGAGAAGAACGGGUGUGAGAGUGGAAAGUUCACACUGUGACGGUAUCUUACCAGAAAGGGACGGCUAACUACGUG
rnacentral:rRNA from 1 species